GAUGAAGAACGUAGCGAAAUGCGAUAAGUAAUGCGAAUUGCAGAUUUCAGUGAGUCAUCGAAUCUUUGAACGCACAUUGCGCCCGCCAGUAUUCUGGCGGGCAUGCCUGUUCGAGCGUCAUUUCAACCAUCAAGCCCCCGGGCUUGCGUUGGGGCCCUGCGGCUGCCGCAGGCCCCGAAAAGCAGUGGCGGGCUCGCUGUCACACCGAGCGCAGUAGCGAUUCUCGCUCCGGGCGUCGGCGGCGGGCACCGGCCGUGAAACCCCCCCACAUCCACAAGGUUGAUCUCGGAUCAGGUAGGAAUACCCGCUGAACUUAAGCAUAUCAAUAAGCGGAGGA
rnacentral:misc_RNA from 1 species